rnacentral:lncRNA from 1 species
UGGUGUAAAUUCCUGUCAUGAGCUUAUCUGACUUUGAAAAGUCCUGGGGAAAGCUUGGCUAUCUUGUGCCAGCUGCUCGCUUGUGUUCAAGAUACUAUGACCUUGGCUAUGAAGUUUAGAUGCUUUUGUAAGUGAAAGUUUUCAAAAACACAUGUCGGAAGUUUAUCUCAUUUUCCCCAUUCUAAAGGCCUGUGAAUUUUUCUUAAUCCUAGUUGUAAGUCCAUGUAAAGAAAGGCGUCCCCAUGAUUUCUUAGUGCAGAGCUCUCUGCGUUAGGAUCAGAGCCUGGGGCCGGACUGGAUGAGUUACAA